UCCCCAAAUUCGAGCAACUUGAGGAGUCGCCCCACGAAGAAAAGUGAGAGAGAGAUGGCGUUCAGGGCAGCCGUUCUUCGUCACGUUCGAGUUCCGGUCCGAUUACUUGCCCUAGCUCAUCGGGAAUGCCAGCCGCAGCCGUUUUCCGGCGUAUUGCUCCGACUAUUUUCAUCACACGAUGAUCAUCUUACCAAAGAGGAGGUGAUUGAGAGGGUCCUCGCGGUUAUCAAGUGCCAUCCCAAAGUGGAUCCGUCCAAGGUGAGUCCUGAUGUUCAUUUCGAAAAGGAUUUGGGUUUAGACAGCUUGGACACUGUGGAGAUUGUGAUGGCCUUGGAAGAGGAGUUCAAGCUAGAGAUUCCAGACAAGGAGGCUGAUAAAAUAGAUUCCUGUAAUCUUGCAAUUGAGUACGUAUACAACCAUCCAAUGGCUGGUUGACGAAGCACUAGCUUCUUUUUCUUUUUCUUUUUCUUUUUCUUUUUUCUCUUUCUUUCUCCUUGGGUUUUUCUGGAGAAUGUGUUAUUCAGCUAAUGAAUUUUCAUUCCCAAAAUUGUUGUUUUGAGCCUUUUCUGGUGCUUGUUGAGAGUCGAUCCUUAUGUCGCGAUGGAAAUAAUUGCAAUACAUUCUGUCCAGACAAAUUUUCAGGGCCUACAAUGGUUCUAAUUUUAGACACUUUCUGUUCAUGUGGUAGUAAAAGGUUUGGAUAUGCUGUGUUU